rnacentral:rRNA from 1 species
GACGAACGCUGGCGGCGUGCUUAACACAUGCAAGUCGAGCGAGGCCCCUCCUUCGGGAGGGUGUCCUAGCGGCGAACGGGUGAGUAACACGUGGGCAACCUGCCCUCAGCUCUGGGAUAACUCCGGGAAACCGGGGCUAAUACCGGAUACGACCUCCACGGGCAUCUGCGGGGGUGGAAAGUUUUUCGGCUGAGGAUGGGCCCGCGGCCUAUCAGCUAGUUGGUGGGGUAGUGGCCCACCAAGGCGACGACGGGUAGCCGGCCUGAGAGGGCGACCGGCCACACUGGGACUGAGACACGGCCCAGACUCCUACGGGAGGCAGCAGUGGGGAAUAUUGCGCAAUGGGCGAAAGCCUGACGCAGCGACGCCGCGUGAGGGACGAAGGCCUUCGGGUUGUAAACCUCUUUCAGCAGGGACGAAGCGAAAGUGACGGUACCUGCAGAAGAAGCACCGGCCAACUACGUG